UUAGGCUUAGCAAUAAUCUAUUAUUUUAUGGAUUUUGGCUAUGUUCGUUUUCUGCUAUAAUUCUAGAUGACUAAGAGGCAUGUGUUAAGAGCUUACAUAGAAUGCUUAGGUAGCAUUAGAAAGAAAAAAGCUUUUGCUUGCUAAUCCAUACAAAAUAUUAAUUUCUAAUAUUUCUUGUUUCCAUUCUUACUGUUGAGAUAUAUAUGUUGUUCUGUAAGCUAGGGUUAUACCUUAGAUUAAGGCUGAGAUUUUGAGCAAAAUUAAGCCUUUAAAUAUGCCCAUUAUCUUUCCUUUUCUAUUCAUUUUUAAACAUUAUAUAAUCCCAGUAGCUUGAGUGAAUGAUCAUGUAACUUUCUCUAAAAUUCUCUUCUUUCUCUUAUAUUUUAUCACAGUAUUAGAGCCUAAAAAGGCCUGAUUUUCCUUUGCUCUUUUUUAGUCUGUUUUUUUUUUUUUCUUCUUUUCAGAAACAGGACUGCCAUUUCUAGUUCAUAGGUGUCUGCAGGUCAGACUGCUACACCUCCCUCACCAUCAGGAGUGCUGCCCGCUGAUCGAACUCCCUGCACAGAUAUGUUGCAAGAAAAGCUGCCAUAUACCGCCACAAGCUCCCUGCCUCCAUCACACACGCCACUGUGUGAGCAAUACUCCAACCCUCCUUUCUCGCCGGGAAUAGCUUCAGCAGCCUCAUCCAAAACUGGUGACUAGACCCAGCUACAACAAAUCCCUUAGGUCUUCUCUUCCAUCAUGAUUCAUUCAUUCUUUUUUUUUUUUUUUGAACAGUGACUGUAGGUUCUGUGCAGCUGCCACAUCAGAACCAAAUUCACUCCAGAAAACAUCUCUCCCUUCAGAUGUGAUUUCUCAGUAAAAGUCUUGGUAGCCACUUCUUUCUUACAGUAGCUUAUCUCUUUGUUUCUCUAUUUCAAUUUAUAGUGAGCUCAUCUCAAAAAAAAAAAAUUAUAGUAA
rnacentral:misc_RNA from 1 species